rnacentral:rRNA from 1 species
GAUGAACGCUGGCGGCGUGCCUAAUACAUGCAAGUCGAGCGAACAGAUGAGGAGCUUGCUCCUCUGACGUUAGCGGCGGACGGGUGAGUAACACGUGGAUAACCUACCUAUAAGACUGGGAUAACUUCGGGAAACCGGAGCUAAUACCGGAUAAUAUAUUGAACCGCAUGGUUCAAUAGUGAAAGACGGUUUUGCUGUCACUUAUAGAUGGAUCCGCGCCGCAUUAGCUAGUUGGUAAGGUAACGGCUUACCAAGGCAACGAUGCGUAGCCGACCUGAGAGGGUGAUCGGCCAAACUGGAACUGAGACACGGUCCAGACUCCUACGGGAGGCAGCAGUAGGGAAUCUUCCGCAAUGGGCGAAAGCCUGAAGGAGCAACGCCGCGUGAGUGAUGAAGGUCUUCGGAUCGUAAAACUCUGUUAUUAGGGAAGAACAAAUGUGUAAGUAACUAUGCACGUCUUGACGGUACCUAAUCAGAAAGCCACGGCUAACUACGUG